UGUAAAGCUGCAUAUCGUCACAUUGCAGUUCCUAUUACACUAGAUUUUCCUUAUAUUAAGCACAGAUCUCGACAUUGCUCGAGGCCGAAACUGUUAACUUUAUUAACCCUUCAUUAAGGAUAAUAUUGGUGUUCAUACAGUGAAUAGAAAACGUAUUGCAGAGUGCAGUUCACUGGGAUUGUUUUUUACGCCUGUGGUUUCUUAACAUCGCACAACAAACAUAUUAAAAUUGUAAUUUUUAGCAAAAUGUGAAUAAUACCAACUAUAAAUCUAAACAAAGUAUUGAAAACUGUGCUUUUGAUAUUCAAUAUUAAAUUAAUUAAGGAAAUAACUAGGUCCAGAAGUGUUUCGAAUUUCGAAACGACUAGUUUUAGCAGUUUCACUUUGUGACGUUAUUGCUUUUCACUUCAGUUUCUCAACCAAAUAAACCAGCUCCAUUGUUGUUGCUGCUAUUGUAGUCCCUGUUGAUUUUAUUUAACCUCAUCCCAGCGAUGUUCGAACAAAUCUGUAAUCAAAGAUGCCUCAGUUAUGCUCAUGUUAUCUUUGUUCAGAUUUAAUGAAUCUAGGACCAGAUUAUCCAAUAUUUUCUUCUUUUGAAGAUAGGAUAGAAUUUGAGGGAAGUUUGACAGCUGUUUCUAGCCGGUUCAACAAACAUAAAGACACCAUUGCUGGAUUGUUUAACUCAAUGGUGGUAAGCUAUCGAGCAGCAGCGAAGACAGUAUCUGAUGACCACUUCAUUAACUUUCUAUGUUAAAGAACUCGAUAUAUCAAAGUAAAAGUUGGCAAGGGUAAAUCUUUAAAUCCAUUUUAAGUAUUAAAAAGAACAACAACAACAACAACAAGAAUAAAAGCCAAAAGAAGAAAAGAAAAGAGUGCGAUGGAACGGAAAGGGAUUGGAGUGUAAAGUGAAAGAAAGAAUUGAAGACAGAGAGGACAGAAGACGCUGAACGAGGAAAUAAGAGAGAAAGAUCGAAAGAGAGAAAAAGAGAAAUGAAGAAGGGGUGAAAGAAAGAAACAAAGAAAGAAGACCAUAAGCAUACGUAUUUAACUCACUCCACUGCAAUUGAAGAAAUAAAUUGGGACAGAUGGAAGCAGAGAACGGUAAAAUACUAAAGAAAUUCAAAGAUAGUGGAAAGAAAUCUUUAAAGAAAAUACUGAGCAAAAGAAGAAGGAAAAGAAGGAAACAGUGGUCUUAGAUUCUUCAGAGGACUUGAUCUUGAAAGAGCUGUAAUGUUCUUUAAGAAGAAAUUGUGAAGCUGGUAUGAGGAUCUAAGAAACUGUGUUCGCGAUUAAGGAGAAGACAGUUAAACAAUUGUGGGCAUCUAGGAAAAAAAAUAGACAGGAAGUUUACAAUGAGCAGUGUUACCUUGGAAACAAAAGAAGAGACUACAAAUCGAGAUGUAAGCAUUGAGAAUUUAAAUUUAAAGCAAUGUUGUUGAAAUGAGAUGAGUUUUCAAGAAAUUUUCAUGCGUUAACAACGAUUUUCGAGUAGCCAUAUUAGUAAUUUAGCUAUCUGAGAAAAAUC